AGCAGCCGCGGUAAUUCCAGCUCCAAUAGCGUAUAUUAAAGUUGUUGCAGUUAAAAAGCUCGUAGUUGAAUUUCGGGAUCAAUUAAUUGGUCGUGCCUCUGGUACGUACUGAUUUUAUUGGUUUCUCCCUUCUGACGAACCAUGAUGUCAUUAAUUUGGUGUCGUGGAGAAUCAGGACUGUUACUUUGAAAAAAUUAGAGUGUUUAAAGCAAGCUAACGCUUGAAUACAUUAGCAUGGAAUAAUGAAAUAGGACGUUUGAUCCUAUUUUAUUGGUUUCUAGGAUCGACGUAAUGAUUAAUAGGGAUAGUUGGGGGCAUUAGUAUUCAAUUGUCAGAGGUGAAAUUCUUGGAUUUAUUGAAGACUAACUACUGCGAAAGCAUUUGCCAAGGAUGUUUUCAUUAAUCAAGAACGAAAGUUAGGGGAUCGAAGACGAUCAGAUACCGUCGUAGUCUUAACCAUAAACUAUGCCGACUAGG
rnacentral:rRNA from 1 species